UCAGCUUCAUCACAUCCACUCAUAUUGAAUCGCCAAACCACUAUUCUGGAACCCUCGUCCACACCACAUCUAUAAGAGAACUGAAGGGGUACUUGGUCAUCUCAUCAUCAAAUCAUUCAUUAGGGUUUUGGCUAGAUCAGCUUAAUCCCACAGAACGAAUAGUGAGGAUUUCUGAGGCUUCUAAAGCCCAAGAUGAAGAGGAUCAUGACGGUGUUCUUUCUAGAGUAGAAUCUAGGGUUCGAAAACCUCGCAUCGAUGACUACCAGAGGCAAGGGUGGCUCUGGAUACCAUGAAUAAAUGAAUGAAAGAGGUAAUUUUUUCUACUUCUCAUUAAAUGAAGGAAUCAAUACUGUACACAUUUAUACAAUCUGAAUAGGUUAUUCUAGAAUACAAUUCUGUUAUGAUCAUGGUGAGGUGUAACAAUCUGAGAGAAUUUAGGAGCUCAUCAUCCUUUUUCACAAGAUCUUUUGGACGUAUUAGCUGUGCUUCUAGAAUUGGUGACUUGAGUUUGUGCUGUAGUGUGCUCAGCUUCACUGUACAUUGUCUGAGCUUGGUUCUUACUAUCAGUUUGGAUUAAAAUUUGUUUGGACAUAUCCACUCAUGCCGACCCGAAUUGAGGUAUAAUUUCUUAUAAGUUUAGUUUUACAAUUUUCCUUGUUUGGGAUGGAUAUUUUUGAACCAAGAAUAUGUCACACUUCUUAUCUUUUCUAAUGACAUAUAUGCAGUUUUCUUUGGUCAUGAUGUUAACUGGAUGGAUCAUAUGCCCCCAAACUUACUGUCAUGCCCAGAUCUAAAAAUAAAGAAUAUUCCUAAAUCAGGAUGAGCGAAUUCAACGAAAUAAAAUAAAAAAGAUUGAAAAAUUGGUUAAAAUACAUUACCCUUAUAUAAAAAUAGUCACACCUAAUUUAAGGGCUAAUUAUAUGAGUAAUAUGCUAGACUUGAUGAUGAUGUGGUGCUGAUGGGAAAUAUUUAGUCUGUGUGUUUUCCAGAAGUACAGGCUUAACAGUAGGGGAGUCCAAACCAGCUACUGCCAAUAGUUACCAAAGGACACCCCCAUUUUACAGAACCCAAGCACUUCUGAUCACUUUUAAGCAGCAGCAGAUCAAAGCUGCUGGGAAUGGUGGAGUUAGAAUUGAAGGUGGGUCUUCAAGUGGUGGCCCUAGCAGCAGAGGAAAUUCAGAAAUUAAAAAAUCAAAGAGAAGUCAGUUUUUCUUUAUCCAAUGGCGAUAGUACUUUUUUUUUUCCCAAGGAAUCUGAUUGUACUUUGUGCAUGCAGUCGUUUGGUUUUUAUUCACCACAUCUUUUGAACAUCUCCUUGGGAAAGAAAAAAAAAAAGUACUGUCGCGAUUGGACAGAAACCUCCCUGGGGCUUAGGCCUGCACGGGCUUUGGCCCUUCAAAAAUUUUGAAAUACUAUAUAUAUUGGGCUUUGCAUUGGACAA